GCUCCUUCAACACAGCAGAAACUACAUCAACAAUGACUCUGGUCACCAUCUUCAUCUGGACACUGGUCUGCUUCUGCUUCAGAGGAUCCAGAGGUCAGGUGACUGUGACUCAGCCUCCUGUAGUGACCUUUUCUCCAGGAGACACUGUCACUCUGACCUGUAGAACCAACCCUGCAGUUUACAAAUGGAGUGAUGGAGAUGAAGGUGCGUUCUGGUAUCAACAGAGACCUGGAGAAGCUCCUAAACUCAUGAUGAAAUAUGCAAAGACAAGGAUAGAUGGGAUUCCUGCUAGAUUCAGUGGCAGUGGGUCUGGGAGUGACUUCAGUCUGACCAUCAGUGGAGUCCAGGCUGAAGAUGCAGCAGUUUACUACUGUCAGAGUCAUCACAGUGGUAAUGUGUUCACACAGUGAUUUAGAGCCGUACAAAAACCUCCUGCACCAAAUGACACACAUCACUGUUGACAUGUCUGAAUGUCCCCUCAAUGCUUGGUUGGUCUACCAGACACACAGGUGUCCCUCAUUUAAACUGAGAUGUUAUAUCUGAAUGAUCCCUCUUUUAGAAUAGGACACAAGUCCCAAGUGCUCAUCUGACCUUCACAUGGCACAAGAGUCAUUCAUUUAAAUGAGCAUAACUGACAGAAAUGUAACUGAAAACAGGUGGUCAAAUGCAAAACAUGGGAAUGGCCCGUGAGUCAUGGCUACAGUGCAAUCCAGACCAAUGAAAUGCACUUCACUAAAAGGUGAUGCUACUGAUUUUUCAAAAAGCUGAAUAAAAUAUAUUCUUACACUGUAUUAUACUGAAAUCCAGUCCAGUGGGUUGAUUUACCAGUCAUGCUUCAAACACAAAUCCAUGCAUUUCCCAUCAACGAAU